AUUGAACGCUGGCGGCAGGCUUAACACAUGCAAGUCGAGCGGGGGAAGGUAGCUUGCUACCGGACCUAGCGGCGGACGGGUGAGGAAUGCUUAGGAAUCUGCCUAUUAGUGGGGGACAACAACUCGAAAGGGAUGCUAAUACCGCAUACGUCCUCAGGGAGAAAGCAGGGGAUCUUCGGACCUUGCGGUAAGAGAUGAGCCUAAGUUGGAUUAGCUAGUUGGUGGGGUAAUGGCCUACCAAGGCGACGAUCUGUAGCGGGUCUGAGAGGAUGAACCGCCACACUGGGACUGAGACACGGCCCAGACUCCUACGGGAGGCAGCAGUGGGGAAUAUUGGACAAUGGGGGGAACCCUGAUCCAGCCAUGCCGCGUGUGUGAAGAAGGCCUUAUGGUUGUAAAGCUCUUUAAGCGAGGAGGAGGCUACUUUAGUUAAUACCUGGAGAUAGUGGGCGUUACUCGCAGAAUAAGCACCGGCUAACUCUGUGCCAGCAGCCGCAGUAA
rnacentral:rRNA from 1 species